CCAACAAGGCCUUUACUGACGCUAAAGCUCGAAAGGUGCGGGUAUCGAACAGGAUUAGAUACCCCUGGUAGUCCGCACGGUAAAACGAUGGAUGCCCGCUGUUUGCGAUAUACUGUGAGCGGCCAAGAGAAAUCGUUAAGCAUCCCACCUGGGGAGUACGCCGGCAACGGUGAAACUCAAAGGAAUUGACGGGGGUCCGCACAAGCGGAGGAACAUGUGGUUUAAUUCGAUGAUACGCGAGGAACCUUACCCGGGCUUGAACUGCAGGUGAACGAUACAGAGAUGUUGAGGCCCUUCGGGGCACCUGUGGAGGUGCUGCAUGGUUGUCGUCAGCUCGUGCCGUGAGGUGUCGGCUUAAGUGCCAUAACGAGCGCAACCCUUUUCUUUAGUUGCCAUCAGGUGAUGCUGGGCACUCUGGAGAUACUGCCACCGUAAGGUGUGAGGAAGGUGGGGAUGACGUCAAAUCGGCACGGCCCUAACAGCCGGGCCUACACUCGCGUAACAAUGGGAGGUACAGAGAGUCGGUCAGUGGCAAUGCUGAUCUAAUCCUAAAAGCCUUCCUCAGUUCGGAUUGGAGUCGCAGCCCGACCCAGAAGCGGU
rnacentral:rRNA from 1 species